AUUGAACGCUGGCGGCAGGCUUAACACAUGCGAGUCGAGCGGAGAGAGGUAGCUUGCUACUGAUCUUAGCGGCGGACGGGUGAGUAAUGCUUAGGAAUCUGCCUAUUAGUGGGGGACAACAUUUCGAAAGGAAUGCUAAUACCGCAUACGUCCUACGGGAGAAAGCAGGGGAUCUUCGGACCUUGCGCUAAUAGAUGAGCCCAAGUCGGAUUAGCUAGUUGGUGGGGUAAAGGCCUACCAAGGCGACGAUCUGUAGCGGGUCUGAGAGGAUGAUCCGCCACACUGGGACUGAGACACGGCCCAGACUCCUACGGGAGGCAGCAGUGGGGAAUAUUGGACAAUGGGCGGAAGCCUGAUCCAGCCAUGCCGCGUGUGUGAAGAAGGCCUUAUGGUUGUAAAGCACUUUAAGCGAGGAGGAGGCUACUUUAGUUAAUACCUAGAGAUAGUGGACGUUACUCGCAGAAUAAGCACCGGCUAACUCUGUGCCAGCAGCCGCCGUAA
rnacentral:rRNA from 1 species